GGUCUUCCAUCGCCACCAUUGGGAGAAGAAAAAUGGCAUGUCCCUUAUUUUAGAGAAGAAGAGAGGGGUCAACUUUCUCUCUUCCCUCCUUUCUCUCUCUUCUCUCUCUUGCUCUCUUUCCUCUUCCUUUUUUGUCUCUUUAUUCUCUCUACAUCGUAUAUUGGAUCCAAUUGAGGGUCCGAGAUUCUUAAUUUACGGACCUCAGGUUAACCCUGGUGAAGAGUUUUAGAUCGAAAUUAUAGGUGAUACCAUCUUGUCGAUCUAUAUCUUAGUUUUUGUUGGUUAUCCAUAGAUCCACUAUUGGCAAUCCUUGACUUAUUACCUUUGCCUUGAUUGAACCAUUUGUUUA
rnacentral:lncRNA from 1 species